rnacentral:rRNA from 1 species
GAUGAACGCUGGCGGCGUGCCUAAUACAUGCAAGUCGAGCGAACGGACGAGAAGCUUGCUUCUCUGAUGUUAGCGGCGGACGGGUGAGUAACACGUGGAUAACCUACCUAUAAGACUGGGAUAACUUCGGGAAACCGGAGCUAAUACCGGAUGAUAUUUUGAACCGCAUGGUUCAAAAGUGAAAGACGGUCUUGCUGUCACUUAUAGAUGGAUCCGCGCUGCAUUAGCUAGUUGGUAAGGUAACGGCUUACCAAGGCAACGAUGCAUAGCCGACCUGGGAGGGUGAUCGGCCACACUGGAACUGAGACACGGUCCAGACUCCUACGGGAGGCAGCAGUAGAGAAUCUUCCGCAAUGGGCGAAAGCCUGACGGAGCAACGCCGCGUGAGUGAUGAAGGUCUUCGGAUCGUAAAACUCUGUUAUUAGGGAGGAACAUAUGUGUAAGUAACUGUGCACAUCUUGACGGUACCUAAUCAGAAAGCCACGGCUAACUACGUG